rnacentral:tRNA from 1 species
AGUAUGUUAGCUUAAUUGGUUAAGCAUUGUGUUUCGGCCACAAGGAUUAUAAGUUCGAAUCUUAUACAUACUU